rnacentral:misc_RNA from 1 species
UCAAACUUGGUCAUUUAGAGGAAGUAAAAGUCGUAACAAGGUCUCCGUUGGUGAACCAGCGGAGGGAUUAUUACUGAGUUAUCAAACUCCAAACCCAUGUGAACAUACCCCUUUGUUGCCUCGGCAGGCUGUGUUGCCCCGUGGAGCCUACCCUGUAGGAACCUACCCGGUAUCACGCUGAACGCCUGCCGGCGGCCUAAAAACUCUAGUUUGUCUUUGAAUCUCUGAAUCAACAACUAAAUAAGUUAAAACUUUCAACAACGGAUCUCUUGGUUCUGGCAUCGAUGAAGAACGCAGC